ACUGCUCAGUAACACGUGGACAAGCUGCCCUAUUGCGGGGGAUAAUCUCGGGAAACUGAGGAUAAUACCCCAUAGAUCUCACUUACUGGAAUGUUGUGAGAUUAAAAGCUCCGGCACAAUAGGAUGCGUCUGCGGUCGAUUAGUUAGUAGGCGGUGUAAUGGACCACCUAGACUAUAAUCGAUAGGGGUCAUGGGAGUGAUAGCCCCGAGAUGAAAUCUGAGACACUAUUUCAAGCCUUACGGGGUGCAGCAGGCGCGAAACCUUUACAAUGCACGAAAGUGUGAUAAGGGGACUCCAAGUGUCCAUAUACCAUAUGGACUUUUCUUUAGUCUAAAACGCUAGAGGAAUAAGGGGUGGGUAAGACUAGUGCCAGCCGCCGCGGUAAAACUAGCAUCCCAAGUGGCAAUCACCAUUACUGGGCUUAAAGCGUCCGUAGCUUGUUCGAAAAGUCUCUGCUGAGAUCCUGCGGCUUAACCGUAGGGCUUGGUGGAGAAACUUUCGGACUAGAGGAUGGGAGAGGUCGGAGGUACUUCUGGGGUAGGGGUGAAAUCCUAUAAUCCUAGAAGGACCAACAGUGGCGAAGGCGUCCGACAUGAACAUGCCUGACAGUGAGGGACGAGAGCCAGGGUCGCGAAACGGAUUAGAUACCCGUGUAGUCCUGGCCGUAAACGAUGUUGACUAGGUGGGGCGCGCUCUUCGUGAGCGUGCUAUGCCGAAGGGAAACCGUUAAGUCAACCGCCU
rnacentral:rRNA from 1 species